GGAGAGAUGUCCGAGCGGCUGAAGGAGCACGCCUGGAAAGCGUGUAUACGUUAAUAGCGUAUCGAGGGUUCGAAUCCCUCUCUCUCCG
rnacentral:tRNA from 1 species